CACAUGCAAGUCGAACGAUGAAACUUAAAUGAAUUCUUCGGAAUGAUUUUAAUUGGAUUAGUGGCGAACGGGUGAGUAACGCGUGAGUAACCUGCCUUACACAAGGGGAUAGCCUCUGGAAACGGAGAAUAAUACCCUAUGAAACUAUCUUAUCGCAUGAAAAGAUAGUCAAAGUGUUUUAGCGGUGUAAGAUGGACUUGCGUCUGAUUAGCUAGUUGGUGAGAUAACAGCCCACCAAGGCAACGAUCAGUAGCCGGCUUGAGAGAGUGUACGGCCACAUUGGGACUGAGACACGGCCCAGACUCCUACGGGAGGCAGCAGUGGGGAAUUUUGCACAAUGGGGGCAACCCUGAUGCAGCGACGCCGCGUGAUUUAGAAGGCCUUCGGGUUGUAAAAAUCUUUUGUAUAGGAAGAAAAUGACAGUACUAUACGAAUAAGGUCCGGCUAAUUACGUGCCAGCAGCCGCGGUAAUACGUAAGGACCGAGCGUUGUCCGGAAUCAUUGGGCGUAAAGGGUACGUAGGCGGUUAGAAAAGUUAGAAGUGAAAGGCUAUAGCUCAACUAUAGUAAGCUUUUAAAACUGUUUAACUUGAGAGAUGGAAGGGAAAGUGGAAUUCCUAGUGUAGCGGUGAAAUGCGCAGAUAUUAGGAGGAAUACCGGUGGCGAAGGCGACUUUCUGGCCAUU
rnacentral:rRNA from 2 species